CAGGGAGCUGAGUCAGAGAGAGCGUGUGUAAUUUGCCCAGCGUCCCACAGAUAGUAAAUGGCAGAGCCGAGCUCCCUCCCUGCCCCGCCAGCGCCUGCCUUCCGCCGUCUCGGAUCUCCUGUGCUCAGGAAACCUGUUGAAGAUAGGACUGCCGAAUGAGUGGACUUGAAACCAAAGAAAUCCCAAGCCACGCCAAACAGGACCUCAGGACUCUCCCAUUUUUCUGUCAUCAGGGGCAUGUUUGGUACCUCUGGUGAUUUGCGAAAUGACCUUCUGACCCCAGAACUCCGAGUCAAACCCUGCGCCACACCCUUCCCAGGGCCCAGUGGUACUGCAUCAUCUGUUGCAAUCAGCUGCCGAGGCUUCACCACUGGUAUUCCUAUGAAACAGCAAGUGCACCAGUUGUCAUCCAUCCUCAUUCUGAAGUCUCAGCUGUCUUUGAGGCUGCUACUCUAUUCUUCUGACACUCCAUCAUAAAAGUUCUCACCAGUAGUCACCAGUUUGGACUUAUCCUCUUCAUCACCAACUUCAUCAUCUUCCACACUUCGGCCAGGAAAGAAAAAGCCCAUCAUUCUAUGGAAGAACUGGUGUGUCAGCUGGAUGGUGAGAGGCACCACAUUUACCUAAAGAGGAAAAAGAUUCAAGAAGCAAUUAAGCUUAGACACCAUCAUCAGUUUACCUACUCCUGAUAUUGUGUAACACACAGCUGGCUUUUGAAUGUCCUUUGUUCCCAGGUCCCUAAGGGACUGCUUACUAACCUCAAAAUGCUCCUUAACAGAGAUACCCCCAACAGGGGGCCGGACUUUGCUGAAGAGGCGGAGAGCUAGCUGUCGCCCAGACUGGCAGGAGCUCUGGGGCCGCAGUACUACCUGUAGGAUACAGAGUAAAUAACAGCCCAACCCAAUGUCCUUCCUGCCAUAAAGCAACCCAUAAACUCUCUGCAGAAUGACAGGAGAAGCAAUGGAAUUGCUAAGCUGGGCAAGCUUUCACCCUCUCUGAUCACCACAUUGUUUUCCAUAGUGGAUUUAUAUUAAAGAGCCAUUAUAAAUGCCCUGUGCUAAAAACAUGCAAAUGGACUAGGAAUGGAGGAAAAAAGACUUGCCUUAUAGACAGCAUUGGGGAGGAGGUUGUUCAUAGUGAACCAGCCCAACUCCAGAAGAUGUUCUGCUGUGUCAUCAGACUUAUUCACCUAUAAAGACAGAUUUUGCCCCAUCUACUAUAAUAAACCUUUCUCAGAAGUCUACUAGACAAUUGCUAUAUAUCCAGUUUGUUUUCAGGCUCUACGUAUGCCUAAUCCCAACUUUGCUUUCUUCUUCAAUCUCAUACAAUCAACACCCUUUAAUCUAGCAUUUCUCAUGGGUACCAUUAUCCAGGACACUAAAUGCUGGUAGUACUAUCUAGCCAUAGUGACAUUAAAAAAUUGUCUAACUCAUUUCCAAAUGUCCCUUGUAGGAGAAAGUAAUAAAUAACAUCCUCUUCUUCAUGUCAAUGGCAGGAAAGCUGAAUGUCAGUAUUAGAAUAUUCUAUUCC